UUACAGUAAUUGAGGGGAAAUGCACAAAAAAUUGAGGUGCAUUAGGGUAGUGACAAUUGGCAAGAAAUGCAAAUAAAAAAUAUCAAGUGAAUUAGGGCAAUGAGAAUUGAUGGAAAAAGCAAAAAACAAAAACAAAAAAUAAAAUAAAAUAAGGUGCAUUAGGGCAGGUUUAGGCAAGUUCAGUCCUAGAGAGCCGCAGUCCUGCAGAGUUCAGCUCCAACCCUGAAAAUUAGGGUAAUGACAAUUGAGGGAAAACGCCAAAAAAAGCAAAAAAAAACCUGAGGUGCAUUAGGGUAAUGAGAAUUGGGGAUAUAUGCA